rnacentral:siRNA from 1 species
GAGAUGCCGAUGGAAUGUUACUCA